GUGAUGCAAAAGACUCAUGACCCUUCAAAACAUAUAACACGUUGAUAGAAGUUAAGAGCAAGGUACAAUUCUUCUUGCAAACAUGUUAUACGAACUUCUGUCACAUUCAAUGAUGGAUCUCCUAUGAAAAAACAGUACCCAUCCAUGAAAAUGGCUUGAAACUCCUACGUUUCUUGGAUUAUAAGAUAUACAUGAAAAUAGUGUAUCGAGUGCACUGAAC
rnacentral:misc_RNA from 1 species